GAUGGACCUUGCGCAGACAGGCAGCUCCAAGCUAAUAUACGGGCUGCUCCUCCCGUGCUGGGCAGGCAGCAGUGUCUGUCACAGUGAAGGAGGCAGAAGCUGUGAGCGCUUAGUUAACUGGCACAGGCACCUGGAAGAGAAGGUUCUGCCGGGGGUGGGGAGUCGGAGCAAGUGAGCCAUAUUUCUAAGCUUCAAGCCUGCACCGUGCCUACAAUGACAGUGCCGUUGUGGCGAAGACUUAACACUGCUCAAGUGCUGAGCACCCUGGGAUCCGGGCAACUUGGCAAAGCAGACACAGGAGGACAUCCUGCCCCCUGCUUCAGUCUCCUGUUUCCUGCACUUCCUCCUCCCUCAAUGGCAAGGGAUGGAAGCUCACAGGCUCCCGCACGGUGGAGAGAAUGGCUGGCCUUUGGAAAAGCCUCUGUUUCACAGACACUUGGACCUGGCUUGCCCUCACAGCCGCAAGGUUCCAGCCGAAGGAAGCAGAAAACUUAGCAGGCUCUCUGUGUCACCUCUGGAUGGAACAGAAGAGCCUAAGACAUUGUUCUGAUGUUUGAACCUGGGGCACCCAGUGGCUAUCAGUAAGUCAGGGGCCAUUGCUUAAGCCACCAAGAUGCCCAGGACCGCGGAGACAGAAGUCAGACUGGGAGAGGCUUAUCCUGGGAGUCUUUAGGUUUUGACUUAAAAACCUCCAUUUAUGGGGCACCUGCAGGGUGCCAGGCACUGUGCUAGCAGCUUUGCAUAUAUUAUAGCUAAUCUUUUCGGCUACCGUGCACAGUAGCUGUUAUUACCCUCAUUUCAGAAAUGAGGAAGUAAAGGUGCUGGCUUUGAGCUUCUUCGUGGCUCUUGGCCCCGCCAAUAGAGCACCAUCAGAAGAGUCCUAGUUUUGUGAAGAAUCCAAAAUGGAAGGGGUAUUAGAGGUCAUUUCUACCUCCUGAGGAUAAUGAUGAAAAGAGAUCCAGAGCCAGAAAUGUAAAUUAAUCCGCUCAAGGACACACAGCAGAGCUGUGUCUUCAACUCUGUCUCUUCCAUGUAACAGCAGGAGCACGGAAAUAUGGAGUUGUGGUCUGGGAUGAACGGAACAAAUGUCAAGGCUGCCCCCGCUCUGUCUCUAAGCAAUGAGCAUCACAGGCAUGGCAGGUUUCAAAAAAUGAGGGAAGGGGAAGCUUUGCAGUUCUACAGGAUCAAGUAACUUGCCGAUGAUAAAAAUAGAUAUCCAUGUCUAUAAAAUGUUUUCGGCCCCUCACGAGGAAAGUGCAGGAAGGGAGUCAACGGCUUCAGAAUUUUCUUUUUUUUCCAUCAUUUUGUAACCUUAGGUGUCACACACUACUCAAUCUUUGCGUCCACGGGGUGACAAGUUUGCAUCACUCACUCUUUGGUUUGCUCCAAAUUGCUUGGGGUUCCAGCUGAAAGUUCUUCUAGAAAUGUCCCUGCAUUAUCUCACGAAGUCUCUAAGGAGUGUAUGGUCUGCGUUCAGAGCCAUAACAUAAACACCAGCCUCUUUGAGCCACACGUGGGAUUACCCAGACUCUGGCAUCCCGGGACUCAGAAAUAGUAUAUGUACCUGGGUCUGGCUGAGCACCAUGUAUGGAAGAGUUAAGAAGCAUUAGGACUGAAAGGGAACUUGGAGGCUAUUUCAAACUCUCAUUCUCUAAAUCAAAUCCUACCUAUGUUUCAUCUGACCAGUGAGCGGCUUUCAGAAAUCCUCAGAUAGUCAACCUGUUGGUAUAGUGAUUGGGUCAUUUGCAAGGGUACAGAAUAAUUAGUUUAGAUGAUUGGUUCUAGUUUUCACUUGGAAUGUUCUUAAGAGCCCAUUUUAUUUACCUCUUAAGUGAAUACAAUAAUGGAUAAACCCAUGGUCCUAAAUUGAAUGAAAUACAAAAUCCACACACUUGCACAAGUCUAUCCAAGCUAGCCUUAGCCAUGCUCCCUACAUUUCAGCCAUGGUUGGCUUUUUGGUCUCUGAAUGUGUCAUGGCAGUGCCCACUGGAAAUAAUAUUCGUAACUUCUUCAGUCUGCCAUGAUUUACACUCUUGUCAAAAAGGAUUUGAGGGGCACUUGGGUGGCCCAGUCAGUUAAGUGUCUGACUUUUGGUUUUGGCUCAGGUCAUGAUCU